AUUUUUUUAACUUAAAGCCAACUAAAAUCGUUCUCAAAAUGAAGCUGCUUACAUGGGGCAGCCCCAUCUGUCUGUAUUCUGAAGCAUGGCCGGAGGGACUCGGGGGAGGAUUUGUGGUAAUCCGAUGAACGCCUGUGUCUCUUUAAUGUUGGGCUUAAAAGAUGUUCUUUGUUCAUUGCAAUUUGCCGACAUGCCGAUGAACCUCUUAAGCCCUCAGCCUCCCUUGUAAAUUUCCGCUCUUUUGAAAUCUCCUUCUCUCACUUUGUUCGUGUUUUUGGGGCCGGCCAUUGCUUUGCCAAAGGGAGAACAGUUCAUGGCAAGAUGAUAACAUCUGGGUUUCGCCCAGAUGUUUAUACAAACAACUGUCUGGUUUCGAUGUACUUGAAGUUUACUCGGGCACAUAAUGCGUCUAAUGUGUUCGAUCAGAUGCCUGAGAGAAAUCUAGUAUCAUGGGUGGCCUUAGUUUAUGGGUAUUUCCAGGUGGGUUUUGCUGAAGAAGCUUUAGACUGUUUGAGGUUAAUGGUUGAUGGUGGCUUUAAACCAAAUGAUUACGCAAUGUCGGGGCUGUAUCUGCUUGUACCGGCAUAGGAGCUUCCAAAACCGGGAAGGAAAUUCAUGGAAGGAUUUAUAGGACUUGGGAAGAGUUGAAUAGCUUUGUUAGAAGCAGUCUGAUCAAUAUGUACGGGAAAUGUGGCUUAUUGAACUCAGCUCAAUCGGUGCUUGAUGCAACUCUGGUGCCAAAUUCGGUCUCUUGGACUUCACUUCGUUCAACUAAUUGACGGUGUGGGAAAAAUACGGUGGGUUUAGAAUUCUCUUGUGCUAGUUUCAUAGGUGCUUGGGUGCUGCAUUAGAAAAUUUUGAAGUUGGGAUUCAAUUACAUCCACUUGUUGUCAAGUUUGGACUUGGAUUGAAUCAGUUUAUGACGACAGGUGUGGUUCAUUUUUAUGCCAAAUGUGGGGAACUCGGCUCAGCUUGGAAAGCUUUUCUAGAUAUCAAUAAGCCACAUUUGUGUGCGUGGACUGUGCUGAUAGCAGGGUUCGGUCAACAGGAGAAAGGAAGAGAACCCACUGAUCUCUCCUGUAAGUUGCACUCUUCAGAUCUCAAACUAGUUGAGGGAACAUUCUCAUUGGUGCUUGGUGCCUUCAUUGGAGCAGUCCAAAUAGAAAUUGGAAACAACUCCACUGAUUGAUCAUAAAUUGGGAUUUAGUGUAUUUAUAUAUGUAGGGAAUGCUAUUUUGGGCUUCUAUGCGAAGUGUGGUCUCCUCAAGGAAUCCUCAAUGAUAUUUAGAGAAAUGGAUGAACACAAUGUCGUCUCCUGGAAUGCUCUGAUCUAUAGACAUACUAGAUUAGGUCAUUAUGGAGAAGUUGUUGAGCUUCUAGACCUUAUGUUGUUUGAAGGGUUUGGACCCAAUCCUCACACAUGUUCUAGUAUUUCGAGCAUCUGUGGGGAUCUCCUAGCAAUAGAAAGGGGCUGGCAAACCCAUUGCUGCAUUAUAAAACUUGGAUUUGAUUCCGAUGUUGCUGGGUGUGCACUAACAGACAUAUAUGCCAAGUUUGGAAGAUUGAGCGAAGCUUGGAAAAAUUUUGAUAACCUAAUCACAAGGAAUAUGGUUUGUUGGAAUGCUAUGUUUGAUGGAUAUGCGCAUCAUGGAUUUGGGAAAGAGGCUUUAGAGAUUUAUAGUAUGAUGCAGAAAGAGGGUGUCAAACCCAAUGAUGUCACAUUUGUGGAAGUUCUGUCUGCCCGUCGAUAUGUGGGACUUUUACAAAAGGGAUGACACCACUUCGAAUCCAUGACCAAAGAACAUGGCAUUGCCCCAAGAGUGAAUCAUUUAGUCUGUAUGGUAAGUCUAUUUGCCCAUAGAGGACAGACAAAAAAGGCUAAGAGUUUUUAAUUAGUCUUCCUAUGGAACUGAAUAAGGAUAUUUGGGAACUUCUUUUGUUGGCUUGCAAGAUCCAUAGGACUUGGUUCAGGGAGAUAUGCUGCAGAGAAAAUUUUGAGUGUCGAUCCAGAAGAUUCUUCAGCUUAUCUUACACUAUCAAACAUAUAUGCCAAGGCAAAAUGUGGGAUGAAACAGCACAAGUCAGAAAGGCAAUGAAGGAGGAAGAAUUGAAGAAAGAUACAGGAUAUAGCUGGACUGAGUUAAAGAGCAAGAUAUAUUCUUUGCUUCUGGUCAUAAUGCACAUUUUUAAGAAUAUAAUCUCUGUGAAAUUUUGAAUGGAUUGACAGUCCUAUUGGUUGAUGUAGGAUAUAUUCCUAUGGCCAUUUUCUCAGUAUAUUAAUGGGAGUAAGUAAAGGAGCAAUGGGUGGAUAAAUAUGUAGUGGCAUAGCAUCUUUCUCAACUUUCAGCUAAGAUUUGCUCUAUAAUUCAGUCUGGAAGUUAAGGACAGCCUCUCAAAAUCUUGGUGUGUGGCACUCUUGUCGCACUCUGGAGUUUGCUGGACAAGGUGGGCACGAACAGCAUGCGAAUGCAAAGAUCAAGGAUUUAUUUUGGCAUUACUAUAAUGGCACGACAGGUAAGGAAAUAUGUGUUUCCUAUAAUAAUCACAGCUAUCCUAACUAAUGAGCGAGAACGUGUAUGUAUAUGCUUGAUAAGUGGUUAGAGAGUCUGUAAACUGAGUCACAAUGAUGAGCACUUAUUUAAUUUGCCACUCAAAUAGCCACCAAUGAGCGCGGAACCAGCUUAGUGUGGUGGUGGGGCUCCUACAUUCCUGUGUACUUAGUACCGGUAGUGAUUUUAGAACAUUAUUGAUUUUAUAUUCUAUUCUUAUUUUCAAUCAGAGAAAAA